UGGGGAAUUUUGGACAAUGGGCGCAAGCCUGAUCCAGCAAUGCCGCGUGCAGGAUGAAGGCCUUCGGGUUGUAAACUGCUUUUGUACGGAGCGAAAAGGUCUGCCCUAAUACGGUGGGCUCAUGACGGUACCGUAAGAAUAAGCACCGGCUAACUACGUGCCAGCAGCCGCGGUAAUACGUAGGGUGCGAGCGUUAAUCGGAAUUACUGGGCGUAAAGCGUGCGCAGGCGGUUAUGCAAGACAGAGGUGAAAUCCCCGGGCUCAACCUGGGACCUGCAUUUGUGACUGUAUGGCUAGAGUACGGUAGAGGGGGAUGGAAUUCCGCGUGUAGCAGUGAAAUGCGUAGAUAUGCGGAGGAACACCGAUGGCGAAGGCAAUCCCCUGGACCUGUACUGACGCUCAUGCACGAAAGCGUGGGGAGCAAACA
rnacentral:rRNA from 1 species